rnacentral:rRNA from 1 species
AGACCGGCGCACGGGUGCGUAACGCGUAUACAAUCUACCGUUUACAGAGGGAUAGCCCAGAGAAAUUUGGAUUAAUACCUCAUAGUAUUUUGAAUCGCAUGAUUUGAUUAUUAAAGUUCCAACGGUAAAAGAUGAGCAUGCGUCCCAUUAGCUAGUUGGUAAGGUAACGGCUUACCAAGGCUACGAUGGGUAGGGGUCCUGAGAGGGAGAUCCCCCACACUGGUACUGAGACACGGACCAGACUCCUACGGGAGGCAGCAGUGAGGAAUAUUGGACAAUGGGCGCAAGCCUGAUCCAGCCAUGCCGCGUGCAGGAUGACGGUCCUAUGGAUUGUAACUGCUUUGUACAGGAAGAAACACUCCGACGUGUCGGAGCUUGACGGUACUGUAAGAAUAAGGAUCGGCUAACUCCGUG